rnacentral:rRNA from 1 species
UCUUGGAAACUAAGCAGGAUUAGGCCUCGAGAACACUUGGAUGGAAGACUGCAAGGGAAUACCAGGGAUUUCCAGGAA